rnacentral:rRNA from 1 species
CACGUAGGGCGCGAGCGUUUGUCCGGAAUUAUUGGGCGUAAAGAGCUCGUAGGCGGCCUGUUGCGUCCGCUGUGAAAGCCCGGGGCUUAACCCCGGGUCGGCAGUGGAUGCGGGCAGGCUAGAGGUAGGUAGGGGAGAAUGGAAUUCCCGGUGUAGCGGUGAAAUGCGCAGAUAUCGGGAGGAACACCGGUGGCGAAGGCGGUUCUCUGGGCCUUACCUGACGCUGAGGAGCGAAAGCGUGGGGAGCGAACAGG